rnacentral:rRNA from 1 species
UACGUAGGGGGCGAGCGUUGUCCGAAGUUACUGGGCGUAAAGCGCGCGUAGGCGGUUAUUUAAGUUCGGGGUGAAAGGUUCAGCGCUCAACGCGAACAGUGCCUUGAAUACUGGAUGACUUGAGUUCGGGAGAGGGCAGUGGAAUUCCUGGUGUAGCGGUGAAAUGCGUAGAUAUCAGGAGGAACACCGAUGGCGAAGGCAGCUGCCUGGCCUAGAACUGACGCUGGAGGU